AUGAACGCUGGCGGCGUGCCUAAUACAUGCAAGUCGAGCGAACGGACGAGAAGCUUGCUUCUCUGAUGUUAGCGGCGGACGGGUGAGUAACACGUGGAUAACCUACCUAUAAGACUGGGAUAACUUCGGGAAACCGGAGCUAAUACCGGAUAAUAUUUUGAACCGCAUGGUUCAAAAGUGAAAGACGGUCUUGCUGUCACUUAUAGAUGGAUCCGCGCUGCAUUAGCUAGUUGGUAAGGUAACGGCUUACCAAGGCAACGAUGCAUAGCCGACCUGAGAGGGUGAUCCGCCACACUGGAACUGAGACACGGUCCAGACUCCUACGGGAGGCAGCAGUAGGGAAUCUUCCGCAAUGGGCGAAAGCCUGACGGAGCAACGCCGCGUGAGUGAUGAAGGUCUUCGGAUCGUAAAACUCUGUUAUUAGGGAAGAACAUUUGUGUAAGUAACUGUGCACAUCUUGACGGUACCUAAUCAGAAAGCCACGGCUAACUACGUG
rnacentral:rRNA from 1 species